rnacentral:lncRNA from 1 species
AUAAUUCAUUUCUCAUUUAGUCACUAAAAUAAUAAGUCUUGAUUUCGAUAAACAAUUUAUCGAAAAUACUGGAUCCGAAUUUCAAUGACUAAAUUAAUGAAUUAACUCACAAGUUAUACCCGCUAGCUUCUACAAGAGAGUGAGAUUCAUCUUGAGAUUUAAGUGUUUCAACAGACCUCCCCCCCCAUAACAAUAAACCACCAAAAGGAUACCGAGGUAUGACCUCAAUUAGCCUCACUCAUUGGUAAAUCAAAGUAGUAAAGUAGUAACCAAUAGUAGUAACCAUACAAGAACUUGAGUUCACUAUGCUUGUCAAGACCCGGUCAAACAAGACCCGGCCACCAAGUAAAGCCAAACAACUCCAAUGAAGAAAAAGUCAGCAGAAAGAAUAAUACUACAAACAUCCUGUCAUAAUAUCAUAGUACAAUUAAAUCCCUCCAUGGGACCAUGCUCUCCAUGAGCUAUCAAAUACAAAAUUACAUAUAUGCUAGUACAUGGACAUGUUGUUUUUUUUUUUUUUUGCCCACACCGGACCAAAAGAAUAUUAAAUUCCCCAAAAAUAUAUAUAGUCACAGUGCCUUCAACUAAAAUAAAGCAACCGGCAAACAUACCAUAUUUUCAAGACUCGGGGUAUUUACCUCGAUACCUGAAAGUAUUUUAUUAGUAAAGGUGAGUUACCUUGAAAAGAUUUAAUAAGGGUUUGAUGACCUCAAAGCCAAAAUCAUGAUAAAUAGUAUAUGAUGAAAAAUAAAGCAAUAAGAUGUUGCGUUCUUCAUAUCAAACAUACUCCCUUUUUGAAUCGAAUUUCUCAAAUCAAUAGUUUCAAAAUUUUCAACUUUCUCUCAAAAUUAUUUAUCCCAUCCUUCCGAAUGACACAACUAGAGCUAGUACAUAAACCGGCCUCAUUAUGCCCAAGCAUAUGAGACAAAUCCGGCCAACUUUCGGUACUAAUCGAGGCUUGGCUUCCCCUCCCGCGCAGGUUUUCGGUCGUCUAUUCACGGUGGAUUAUCCAAGCCAUCUUAUUCCGGAUACACUAAUGUACCAAAAUCCCGGAUACCUAGCGGUCAUUCCUAAAAAUAGUUACAUCCUCAAUUUCAAAUUUCAGUUUCAUUUCAAACUUUUCAAUCAUAACCAAGUUUAUGAUACAUAGAGUACUAUUACCAAUAAUUUCAAGAAAACCAACCAUUAAAUAUGCAGAUGCCCAACUCAUCAAAUAUAAGGCAUUAUUAAAUAAAAUUAUUUUAAUGUAGCUACCAUCCAAUUAAUUCCAUAAGCAUUAUGAAAAUAUAAGACCAAAACAAUAUAAGCAAUAGUGUAAAUUAAAAAUUUUCAACAUCUCUACUCUAAAUCUCCUCAUAAAACAUUAUAUCAUGAAAAAAAAUUAGAUUUUCAUGAUAGGGUUUGUCCUAACAUAAAUACCUCAUAGGCUAAGUCCUGAGCUACAACACAAUCCCAAGAUUAAACCCAACAAAAUAACCCCCCCUUUACCUCCAAUUCAAUGGAAGAAAAACUUCAAAAAAAUGGUUGAGAAGAUGGUAUGACAAAACAUCCCACUAGCUCUAAUUCGAAUUGUUUGGUCAAUGCUAGCCCCCGUUGAGUAGUAGGUGCUAAUCUUCAAAAGAACUAUUACUAAUUUUCACCCUAACCCCUCACAUAAUGGCUUCAAAGUUGAAACCCACUUUUCUCUUUUAAACAGGACAAACCAAGAGAGGGCAGGGAAACAGAGAAGACAAGGGGAAAAAAAAAAGAAACGUGAGUGGAAAGGGAAUCUUGGUCAAAGAGGAGAAAGAAAAGGAUUAUAGAUACUAAAUGCUUCCUUUUUGCCUUAAGGCCUUGUUUGGCCUCAAAAAAAUAAUACUAUUUGUUAUGGUUCAGAGCAUUUAGCCCCCUUCUCUCAUUCAUACUUGCAUUACUCAACAUAAGCCCAAAACAAAUUUAAUCAACCAUAAUUAAAAUAACUUAGGCCCAAUCACCCCACAAAUUGGACCCAAUUAAAAAAUAAGUCUAAUUAUAACCCAAACCCCAAACGGUGCAUCUAUAUAUAUAUAUACAUGGCAUGAUGCCGUCAUACAUGUGUCCUAAUUCUAUACGUCAUAGGAAAAAAAUUUGAAACCUUACAAACCUCCACCACUAAAGAAAUUUCGUCCACGAAAUUAGAUAAACAUACCAGUUGGUAAAAAGAUCUAUGGAUUAAUUCGCACGAACUUCAAACUUGCGUCCCACGUAGUCUCCUCCCGCCAUGGGCUGAAGCCAAGCUCUUCACCAAGGGGAUGUGGUCUUUCUUACGAACCAUGGUCCCGCGUGUUCCAAUUACACGGAAUCAGUCGCUCCUUAUACGUGAUGUCCUCAUUGAUAACAAGAGCUCCCCAAAUCAAAACGUGUGAAGGAUCGGGUUCAUAUUUUCGCAAAGCGAAAACAUGAAACACAUAUGUACAUUCGCCAAACGCAGUGGUAAAGCAAGACAAUACGCCAUGCCUCCGAACGGUCAAGAAUCUCAAAU